GACGAACCGUGCGAACGUUGUUCGGAAUCACUGGGCUUAAAGGGCGCGUAGGCGGGCCGCCGCGUCCGGGGUGAAAUCCUCCCGCUCAACGGGAGAACGGCCUCGGAUACGGGCGGCCUGGAGACAGGUAGAGGCAAGCGGAAUUCCGGGUGUAGCGGUGGAAUGCGUAGAUAUCAGGAGGAACACCAAUAGCGAAGGCAGCUCGCUGGGACGGUACUGACGCUGAGGCGCGAAAGCGUGGGGAGCGAACAGG
rnacentral:rRNA from 1 species